ensembl:lncRNA
GUAGAAUGGCUGCUCUGAUUACUGGGUCAGAGGAGCAGAUGCUCCAGCCUCUGCCAGGAACCAGCAGAUAGCCUCCAGCACCCUCCUGGCACCUGGUGCUGCUCUGCAAUGCUGCAUGGGAGGAGGAACGGAGGCAGCCUCUGUGCCCUUCAACUGAUUCAAACAUUGCUUAUACGCAGGAGCGAAGGACUAUUCUGGAGGAAAGCUUGCAGUGGAGGUGAAAUAGCAGAUCAACACCGAGGCAGCGAGCUGAGGCUGCAGGGAAAGGCUCAGGGGAGAAAUCAAAGGGAAGAUGUCUUUGUUACCAACCCAGCUGCAACUUCCUGCUCCAGCCAGAAAAUACCCGAGGAGGUGACUUGUCAGUGGACUGCAUGCCUUUGCCUCACCUUGCUUCCCCAUAAUAAAUGAAUAAUGAACUCGUAGGGCAAACACUGAAGGGCAAUGGGGAAGGUGGAAUUCCCAGAAAUUCUCGUCCCUUGGUAAGCACAAAGAGAGCCUCUGUCCUUCACCACUCUGAUUCCUAAAAAUAGAGCUUUACAGUGAAGGAGAGGGCUUUCCUCUGCUGAGCACAAGUGACAAACCAGCAUUUCUCAUUUAGUGGCACUCCUCUCAGUUUGGAGCAAUACCUUUGAAUUCAGGGCAUGACCCACACCUCACCCAGGGCCACUGAAUUGGUCUCCAUCAAGGCUGUUCUUCAUGGUUCCCCUUUCUACUUCACUCAACUUUUUUCCUUCGGUUGCCCUGAGCCAUUUCCCUGCAGGGUUUUCUAUACAUGCACCUUGUGUCUCCAGUUGUGCUGGAGACUUUGUAUUGUGGGUCACAGGUGAGGAAGGCUGGUCACUCUGCCUUAGACCAAACGGGAUGUUUUCCUGGCUGUUUCUCCUUCAUAUUCAAACUCUGCAACCAAAAUGCUAAUUUUAUGCCAUCAGCAAAGUGCAAAGCAGCUGGGAAGGCCGUGCUCCUUCAGAGAAGAGUCUGCUGGGCCACCAGCUGAGCAUGAAUCACAGCCUGAUGGAGAAAGGGUGAGGAGACGUGGUUUGGCCUCAGGAAGAGAAAACUGGAAAAGCAGACAAGAGCAAUCUUCAAAAACUGCUGCAAAAGAAAAUGGGAAUGAUAAGUUCUCCACACACACAGAAAAGAGGGCUUAAAUUUCAGCAGAGAGGUUCAGCAUGAAUUCUGCUGAAAGCUGUGAUGAGGGGAGGAUGGCAGGGCAGAGAGCAGAGCUCUGCUAUCAGGUUUGCCUGCUGAAGGUCUCUGUCUGGGGAUGCAUCCUGCAGCAAUGCAUCGGGCAGCUUUGUUUCCAUGGGGCUGAUUUCACCCAAAGGGUAUAGCAGAAAGCACAGCUCCUUUUCUCUGGGUUGGAUAUCAUUUAUUCUUGCACCCAGGUAUGUGUUAAUUACCUUCCAGCAGUCUAUGCAGCCUCACUCUGCGCUGUGAUUCUGUUUCUCCUCAACCUGGGGAAAGAGGAUAUGUGCUAACAAGUCAGAGUUGAGGAAGGCUUACAUUUCAGCUUGCUGUGUGCUAAUCCACAUCCUCUUCCCCUAAAUCCUCUUAACCUCCGUGUACUUCCAAUCACAGCCAUUUGCACCAAACGCUACUGGAGGAGCAGAAGACACCAUAACUUGAACCCUGUGAGCUAACUAACCUGCUAAAACAUUUACAAACAGACUAAACGGUGAUAAUUUGAUCUCUGAGUGUCUGGGCGCUGCUCUCUUUCUUGCCCCACCUAUUGUUCGAUUGUGCAUUGUAAUUUCAGGCUGUGCUCGAUGUACUCAUCUUUUGAGAAGGCUGUGACCAAGUAAUCGAGACUGUCAUCACGCAGAAGCUGGCUCAGGAGGCAGAAAUCUCCCCACUGCUCUUUUUCCAUUUCCUGGCUCGACAUCAGGGGAAGAGAUUAUGUGAUCUGAUAGGUAAAAUUAUCCCAUCAGAGGUGAAUGUCCUAAUAAAAGGCUUUUGCAGGCCUGGUUGUAUGAUAUC